rnacentral:rRNA from 1 species
UACGUAGGGGACCAGCGUUGUCCGGAUUUACUGGGCGUAAAGAGCGCGCAGGCGGUCGUUCAAGUCGAGUGUGAAAGCCCCCGGCUCAACUGGGGAGGGUCAUUCGAUACUGAUCGACUCGAAGGCAGGAGAGGGUAGUGGAAUUCCCGGUGUAGUGGUGAAAUGCGUAGAUAUCGGGAGGAACACCAGUGGCGAAGGCGACUUCCUGGCCUGUUCUUGACGCUGAGGAGCGAAAGCGUGGGGAGCAAACAGG